AUGUGGGUCGUUUCCUCGACUUCUGGAUCCUUUCUUGGUAUUGAAGUCCCCAUCUUCCUUCUGGCAGCAGCUUUGAGAGAGAAGCGUGGGCAUACAGUGGAGAGGAGGGUGCCUCCUGGCUGGCUUCUCUCCAGGAGUAUUGGUGGCUGCAAUCAUCCUGUGGACUUUUUUGUGUCUUGUUAGAGUCAACUGGAUAUUAAAUCUGAAGACUGUCAGAAGAUAUAUUUGGCCCAGGCUUCUGUGGAGGGUGUCACACAGGAACUACAGCUGUCUACAGGAAGCAUCAGCCAUUCUUCUUCAGCUGGAGUUUUUGCAGCUGUAUAGCUCUGGUGCAAGGAUAUGAGAAACCCACCAGACAGGGUAAGAACUGUCAUGGCUUAGAAACCUCAGACCUUACUACUGUACCAAUUAUUUCUUAUAAUGACUCAAUAGGAUUCCAGUCUCCAAAGGGCAAUCCAGUCCCAAGAGUUACCAUACUCAGGAAGACCCAUAGCUACCUGUCUGAUUGGGUAUUUAGAGCACAUUUCUAGUCUCUCCCAAUCCAGAUGCAGUUGACCAAACAAGGGUUAUCUUAAUCAUUAAGCAACGUUGCUUAGUGCUAUAGACUUAAUAUUUAUUUUCCCCUACCCCUAAUCCAUAUGUUAAAUCCGAACCCCCAAGGUGAUUAGAGUUAGGAGAUGAACCCUUUGGAAAGUGAUUAGGUCAUGAAGGCAGAGCCUCCAAACCCAAGGAAUUCAUGCUCUUAUAAAAAGAAGACUGAGAAAGUGUCUACCUCUUCCCUCAUAUGAGGUUACAAAAAAGAUGGUAGUUUAGGACUGAAUCCUUGCCCAAUACCAAGCCUUCCAGCGCCUGGAUCUUAGACUUUCCAGCCUUCAGGACUGUGAGAUAUAAGUUUCUAUGGUUUAUAAAUUCCGCAGUCCGUGGUAUCUUUCUUACAGCAGCUUGAAUAGACACACACUUACUAUUGUAGUUAACAUUCCAUCUGAGGAACAAUCAGGUGUUUAGGUGGUCAUUUUAAGACAGCAAGCCAGGAGUUCCUAUUGUAAUGGUAAUUGGUUCAUUCAAUGGUAAUGAACCAGACUAGUGUCCAUGAGGAUGCAGGUUUGAUCCUUUGCCCCUUUUAGUGGGUUAAGGAUCCAGUGUUGCUGUGAGCUGCUCUGUAGGUCAAAGAUGUGGCUUGGAUCCUGUGUUGCUGUGGCAGUGGUGUAGACCAGCAGUUGCAGCUCUGAUUCAACCUCUAGCCUAGGAACUUUCAUGAGCUCCAGAGGCAGCCCUAAAGAGAGAGAAAGAGAAAAAAAAGAGAGAGCAAGCCACUGUACAGCAGAAACUGACAAUACAGUGUAAAUCAACUAUACUUUAAAAAACAAACAGCAAGCCAAAUGAGCAUAGUAAUCCAAACUUUAUUUCAUAAAAGUGGCAGUAAUAGCUAAGAGAAAUAUGAGGUGCCUGCUUCCCAGGGCUGUAUGUUCCCCAUGGAGUUAGACUCCUUACCACCUUUAUCAGGUCUCCAAAAGAUAGAGCUAAAAUUUAACCAAAGGGCCAGUUUUCAUUGAGAAGGGCCUUUAAUCCUUCACCUGUACUCAUAGUGUUUUUUUAUAUUGAUCUGUUUUUUUUUUCCUGGUUAUUUUGUAUUUAUUUACUUACUUUAAAAAUUUUAAUUUUCUUCUGUUAUAGCUGAUUUUUGACCUCCUUUAUUAACCUUUUUUUUCGGUCCUUUUU
rnacentral:lncRNA from 1 species